AGUGAACGCUGGCGGUAGGCCUAACACAUGCAAGUCGAACGGCAGCACAGGAGAGCUUGCUCUCUGGGUGGCGAGUGGCGGACGGGUGAGGAAUACAUCGGAAUCUACUUUUUCGUGGGGGAUAACGUAGGGAAACUUACGCUAAUACCGCAUACGACCUACGGGUGAAAGCAGGGGAUCUUCGGACCUUGCGCGAUUGAAUGAGCCGAUGUCGGAUUAGCUAGUUGGCGGGGUAAAGGCCCACCAAGGCGACGAUCCGUAGCUGGUCUGAGAGGAUGAUCAGCCACACUGGAACUGAGACACGGUCCAGACUCCUACGGGAGGCAGCAGUGGGGAAUAUUGGACAAUGGGCGCAAGCCUGAUCCAGCCAUACCGCGUGGGUGAAGAAGGCCUUCGGGUUGUAAAGCCCUUUUGUUGGGAAAGAAAUCCAGCCGGCUAAUACCUGGUUGGGAUGACGGUACCCAAAGAAUAAGCACCGGCUAACUUCGUGCCAGCCGCCGCGGUAAGAC
rnacentral:rRNA from 1 species